UGGUUACCACAGUAAAAUGCCUAAA
rnacentral:piRNA from 1 species